rnacentral:tRNA from 1 species
AUGACGUUAGCUCAGUCGGGUAGAGCAUUGGCUUCGCAUGCCAUUGGCCGCCGGUUCGAAUCCGGCACGUCGCU